GACGAACGCUGGCGGCGUGCUUAACACAUGCAAGUCGAACGGCAAGGCCCUGCUUUCGUGGUGUGCUCGAGGGGCGAACGCGUAAGUAACACGUGAGUAACCUGCCCUUGACUUUGGGAUAACUUCAGGAAACUGGAGCUAAUACCGUAUAGGAGCUCCUGCUGCAUGGUGGGGGUUGGAACGUUUCGGCGGUUGGGGAUGGACGAGCGGCUGAUGAGCUUGUUGGUGGGGUAGUGGCUUGCCAAGGCAUUGACCGGUCGCCGGCCGGGGAGGGUGACCGGGGACAAUGGGCCUGCGGGACGGCGCAGUGGCCUACGGGAGGCAGUAGGGGGGAACAUUGCACAGUGGGCGGAAGUCUGAUGAAGCAGCGCCGGGUGUGGGAUGACGGCCUGCUGGGUGUGAACCGCAGUCGCUUGAGACGAAGCGUGAGUGACGGUAAUGGGUAAAGAAGCACCGGCUAACUACGUG
rnacentral:rRNA from 1 species